UGGGCGAUUAGCUCAGUUGGCUAGAGCACUUGCUCGACAAGCAAGGGGUCACUGGUUCGAGUCCAGUAUCGCCCAU
rnacentral:tRNA from 3 species